AUAUAUAUAUGCUUAUGUUUAAAAGUCUGUUGUAAAUAGAUCCUAUAUAACCAUGCCCAAUUCUUCAGAUAUUAAAGUUAAAACAUGAUGUGUGUGUGUGUGCAUUUAUUACCAUACUUUCCAUGUAAACUAUUUUUAUCAACAACAAAAAAACAACAUAAAUUGUGCAUGGUGUAUGUGAAUUUAUCUUUUCUAAACAAACAAAAAGUUCCAAAGUUCAACAACAAUAUUGGACAAUGGGAGAUAACUCCAAUAAUUGAAGCUCAAAUUAAAAAUUGAAAGUAGUCUUAUAUUUCCCUUCAGUGCUGACAAGCACUCUGUUUGUUUGUUUGUGUAGUGUUUGUGUUCAUAUAUUCUGUAUAUGCUUAUGUUUUAUAGUCUGUUGUAAAUUGAUCAUAUAUAACCAUGCCCAAAUUCUUCAGACAUUAAAGUUAAAACAUGAUGUGUGUGUGUGCAUGUAUAACCAUACUUUCCAUGUAAACUAUUUUUACAUGUAUCAACAUCAAAAACAGCAUAAAUUGUGCAUUGUGUAUAUGAUCUAUCUUUUCUAUAAAUGUGCUAAAGGUUGUAAAAGCUUCUUUGAGUUCAUGAUACUUGUUUGUUAUGUACAUGUAUAUACUGAGUUGUGCCAAAC
rnacentral:lncRNA from 1 species